GGGGUAUUGAUAAAGGUUCAAUUUUGGAGUUGCUGGGAGAAUUAAAAGGAAAAGUUAGGCAUUGAGUUAAUGAGUUGAAUGAAAAUGCAUGAAAAAGAUGAAAGAGAUAAAAAAAGCAAAGCAUGAAUUUGGGAAUGAGUGAGAUUGGUAAAAAGAGAGUUUGUGCUUGAAUCAUGAGUGUGUGAAUAGCUUUCUUAACUCAAGGAUUUUGUGAUCUAGAAAAACCAAUUUUCCUUGUUAGCCCAACCACAUUAUAAGCCUUAAAAAGUCCUUGUGAUGACAUGUGCAUGUGAUGAUGUUUGAUAAUGGCAAAUGAAUGGAAAUUUUGUUCUAUGUGAC
rnacentral:lncRNA from 1 species